rnacentral:rRNA from 1 species
UCUGGUUGAUCCUGCCAGUAGUCAUAUGCUUGUCUCAAAGAUUAAGCCAUGCAUGUCUAAGUACAAACCUUAAUACGGUGAAACCGCGAAUGGCUCAUUAAAUCAGCUAUGGUUCCUUAGAUCGUCUCAUCCUACUCGGAUAACUGUGGAAAAUCUAGAGCUAAUACGUGCUUACAAGCCCUGACCUCACGGGAGGGGCGCAUUUAUUAGAUCAAAACCAAUCGGGCUUGCCCCGUCUGCUUGGUGACUCUGGAUAACUUUUGUGCUGAUCGCAUGGCCUCUGCGCUGGCGACGUAUCUUUCAAGUGUCUGCCCUAUCAACUUACGAUGGUAGGUGAUAUGCCUACCAUGGUUAUAACGGGUAACGGGGAAUCAGGGUUCGAUUCCGGAGAGGGAGCCUGAGAAACGGCUACCACAUCUAAGGAAGGCAGCAGGCGCGCAAAUUACCCACUCCCGGCACGGGGAGGUAGUGACGAAAAAUAACGAUACGGGACUCUUUUGAGGCCCCGUAAUUGGAAUGAGUACACUUUAAAUCCGUUAACAAGUAUCUAUUGGAGGGCAAGUCUGGUGCCAGCAGCCGCGGUAAUUCCAGCUCCAAUAGCGUAUAUUAAUGUUGCUGCAGUUAAAAAGCUCGUAGUUGGAUCUGAGGACUCGAAUUGGUGGUGCACCAUACGGUGUUACUGCCGAUUCGGCCUACCUAGUCGGUGCUCGCUCUUGGUGUUCUUAAUUGAAUGCCCUGAGUGCCCGGCAAGUUUACUUUGAAAAAAUUAGAGUGCUCAAAGCAGGCCAUUAGCCGGAAUACUUCAGCAUGGAAUAAUGGAAUAGGACUUCGGUUCUAUUUUGUUGGUUUUCGGAACCCGAGGUAAUGAUUAAGAGAGACAGACGGGGGCAUUCGUACUGCGGUGUUAGAGGUGAAAUUCUUGGAUCGCCGCAAGACGAACAACUGCGAAAGCAUUUGCCAAGAAUGUUUUCAUUAAUCAAGAACGAAAGUCAGAGGUUCGAAGACGAUCAGAUACCGUCCUAGUUCUGACCAUAAACGAUGCCAACUGGCGAUCCGAGAUCGUUUGCUUAUUGACCUCUCGGGCAGCCUCCGGGAAACCAAAGUUUUUAGGUUCCGGGGGAAGUAUGGUUGCAAAGCUGGAAACUGUUCAAUUGCAACUCUGCCUGUGACACCAAGUGGUCGGGUUACUUGGUCUGUUCUGGCCCGGAGUCGGUAGGGUUUCCGGCCUUGUGCUCUUUCCUUACUGUUCUCUGUAACGCCGAAGGCGGGCUUCCACGGUGGGGAAGCGGUUGUACAAAUCCGGCAAAUCCAGCCAAAUGGGUUCCGGACUCUGUCCAACCUGCAACUGGUAACAGCCUCGGCUGGCUAACAUUUGAGCUGGGACUCGCUUGGGAGGAGCGAGGAUAAUAUAAACCUCUAUGUGACUGAGGUGAGGAAUCUGGUUCUCGUAAAAUGGCUGGAGAUCCCGAGCCUGUAAGUCAUAAAUUAGUUCCCCCACGAGGGAGGUGUCGAAUUGAAGCCAGUGCGUGCCCUUACUAGUUUAAGGGAUUGUAUACUUCCUUUGGUGUACCCACCUGGAAGUGCCCAAGGGGUCCUAUCCCUGCACUCCAUCCCCGAUUGGAGUCAGGUGACGGCUCCUUA